UACGUAGGGUGCAAGCGUUGUCCGGAAUUAUUGGGCGUAAAGAGCUCGUAGGCGGUCUGUCGCGUCUGCUGUGAAAACUCGGGGCUUAACCCCGGGCCUGCAGUGGGUACAGGCAGACUAGAGUGCGGUAGGGGAGACUGGAAUUCCUGGUGUAGCGGUGAAAUGCGUAGAUAUCGAGAGGAACACCAGAGGUGAAGACGGGUUGCUGGGCUGACACUGACGCUGAGGCGCGAAAGCCAGGGGAGCAAACGGG
rnacentral:rRNA from 1 species